GGGGUUACAUUUUUCUUGUAAUUGAAAGAUUUGAGAAAAAGACCAGAGAGAAGCAUAUAAACGACAGCGUAUCCCUUCACGCUGUGCAGAAGAGUUCAAGAGUGAAUGAUACAAAGAACAUAGGCGGGGGAAGCCUCAGACUAGAACGACGUUUUCCCGGGGGAACCCUCCAGGCUGGAACGACGUUAUCCUUCCCCUCCACCUUCAAGAGGGAGUGAGUGAAGAUUGAAACAGAGAAAGGGAGCAUUAGUUCCCAGAGUUGAGGCAAAAUUAGGGCUUCAGUUAGCAGAUAAUGUAUUCGAAUUGAUGAAAGAGCCUAUUAGGAGUGUAGAUGGAGCAUACAUUUUGGGAUCAUUUGCCUCUAUUGGUGAGAGCAAAUUCCAAGGAAUCGGUGGAGUACAUACUUCAAGCUCUCUGGAGAACUCGAAAGGCUGGUCUCGAUGCUGCCGACCGUCAAGUCAUCUGCGAGAUGCUUCACCUCCAAAACGACUCCGACCUCGAUCCUCUAUUGGUGUGUCUUCGCAUGUUGAUCCGAAGGUGUGUUUAUGAGAAUAUAAACAAGGAUGAGAUUCAAAAGCUAUUUCCUAACGAGGUCCUUCCUGAAUUACAAAGGCUAUUAACAAUUUUGUUGCAAAAGUUUCAGAGAGAAUGGCAAGAAGAUGUAUUCAAAGAUCAGGUUAUUUUGCCCCGUUUGAAGGCAAUGACAUGGAAUAUGGCAAAUCAGGACACAGCAGAAGUGACAGAACCCAUGGCUGUUAUAAACCUGAAGGUAUCUGAACAAUUGUUUGAAUUUUUAAUAUGUAUAUGAGGAAUCCUUGAAUUUGCUUCUGUUUUGGACCAAAUUUUUAGCUAAGUUUGAUGGGCAUUGUGGAUUCUUAAGUCAAAAGUGGCAUACAAAAUGAUAGCAAUGUGAUUUGCAUGCAUGAAUUUAUUUAAGUGCACUGUUUGCAGCUUCAAAAUGAUGCUCCAUCUCACUCAGGAGAAUUGGGUGUAAAGUUUCAAUUAAGUAAAGAUACUCUAGAAACAAUGGUAAAGUCCAUGUACUGCAUAAGAGACCAGCUGUCUGACACUGUAAGUACUAUGCAUGAAAUUUGCCAGUUUUUUCCUUCUAUAUUCAACUAGGUACAACUUGGUUUAGCUUAGUUGUUUUUCUUUGUUAACUUGUCCGUUUGGCAGGAUGUUGCAUCAAACAGGAGGCAUUUGUCCCAGGAAACCAACAUAGUCUAGUUUUUCAUAUGCCUAUAUGUAAUGGGAUAGCUUGGACUUGGAUCCUAUUUUGCUUCAGGAAAUCACUUGGCCUGCUGUUCUAGUGAUUAAAAUUAGGUGGGUUAUGGAAAAAUGUAAAAGGUUUGUUUUUCAUUUGUUUGGCUGUUGGGGGCACAACAUCCUGACUGUGACUCAAGGUUUUAUUCGUAAUAUGAAGGUACAUUUUGAUUGGUAAAAUUUUGCACAUUCUUUUCUCAUAUGUGGUUUUCCUGCACUAAUUAUGAACAUGAGUUAUGUGAAUCUGGUAUUCAUUCAGAUAUGGGGAGUCUGAUUAUGGGAUGCUAUAAAACCAAUAUGGAAGCAUAUAUUUGAAUUGCAUUGCCAAUGCACAGGAAAUGUGGUAUACCACAAUCAGCAUUGAGGAAGAGGGGAAGAGAGGAUUGAUGUGAGAAAAUAUAGGCACCAUUUGGCAAUGCUUUCUAUUAACAUCUCAAGUCCUUUAUUUUCAUGUAACGCUCAAAUAAACAGAGCUUCUGUGGUGCUGAUGCAAUGAUUAUUGGUGGUAUGUGGUCAUGUGAGGUAAGGAAAAAGAUCAUUGGAAGAAAUAAUUGAAUGCUUUAACUAAUAUGCAAUUUCCUCUUAUGGGAGUUACUACCGAUGUCCCAAGAGUACAAAACCAUUUUGUAUCUGAAAGCAUACCCUGUAUGCAUACCAUAUGAGAUAAAUUAGAAUCUCUAUAAGAAAAUUAAUGCAGUCUUUAAUAGAUUUAUUAGGAUUGUCUUGGAAAAUUAUGCAUGUUAUGUGCCAGGGAUUUCAAUGCUUUCAUGUGUUCUGAGCAUAAGUGAGAUCAGGGUUGCCUCAUGGAGGCUUUGGGCUAUCCAGGAGAGCUUAGACUAUCUAAUCUGAAUACACCAAUAGCCAUUGACCAGUGGGUGUUAUUACUUCAUUUCUCUUGGUGGUAUGCUGAAGAAUUAAGGAAUUUCACUCAAGAAUUCCAUGAGCUGAAGGGUUCAUUUUGCUUUAAACUUUUGUGUUUCUGUUGUAGUCUCAAGCCAUCUUAUGUUAAUGAAGGGUUUGAUAACGCUGGAUCUUCCAUCAUCGGUGUAAUAGUUGCUAUUUGAUGAGCAAAAUCGAUACCUUUCCUCCACUAGCUGACUCCUUGCAGUCUUCGUCAUAUUUGCAGGACCAGUAAUAGAGUUGCCCAUCUUUUAGCAGCUCAUGUUUAUAGUGUUUUAGAUGUUUGUUCCUUUGGAUCUGAUGUACGUCUGAACGUUGCUGAAGCCAUGUUGGCUGAUGCUGGUGCUUAAUUUGCUUUUUUUUU
rnacentral:misc_RNA from 1 species